rnacentral:rRNA from 1 species
CGGACGGGUGAGUAAUGCUUGGGGAGUCUGGCUUAUGGAGGGGGAUAACUACGGGAAACUGUAGCUAAUACCGCGUAAUAUCGAAAGAUUAAAGUGUGGGACCUUCGGGCCACAUGCCAUGGGAUGAGCCCAAGUGGGAUUAGGUAGUUGGUGGGGUAAAGGCCUACCAAGCCUGCGAUCUCUAGCUGGUCUGAGAGGAUGGCCAGCCACACUGGAACUGAGACACGGUCCAG